UCCGAUUUGUCACCGGCAGUCUCCUAUGAGUCCCCGUCUUUCACGCUGGCUCCCCGAAGGGUCCUUCACCUUUCGGAUCCGUACCACCAGCAUGUCAAGCCCUGGUAAGGUUCUUCGCGUUGCAUCGAAUUAAACCACACGCUCCGCCGCUUGUGCGGGCCCCCGUCAAUUCCUUUGAGUUUUAGCCUUGCGGCCGUACUCCCCAGGCGGGAUGCUUAAAGCGUUAGCUACGGCACAGAGGGGGUCGACACCCCCCACACCUAGCAUCCACCGUUUAGGGCGUGGACUAC
rnacentral:misc_RNA from 1 species